CUUUCUUUGGUUCGUGCCUGAACCUGGCUGUUUCUCUGCAACCUGCAAUUUAAUCUUCUGCGAAUGUAAUACCCUAAACGUAAUCAUCUGUGAAAUUAAAACAUAAUCAGCUCUCCGUUAUUAGGGGAAGUGGGGAGCUGCAAAAUUGAAAGAAGGAAAACCUGGCUGAUGGAAGUGGUUCUGGGCCCAAGAUGGCCCUGGAGGAAUCCCAGUCCUUUCCAGAAGCGAUGUGCUCUGUGCUCUGGCAGGAGAGUCCCCUCAGUCAGGCUGGGAGGUGCAGAACCGGUGUAGGCACCGCUACAUGCAUAGCAUGGCUUAUUCACAACGUGGGUAACAAACCCAGGAAUCAUGGAGAAUAAAUUCUGCUUUGUUUCUUCGUUUGCUUUGCUGUAACUGAAACAAAAUAGGUGUUUAAAUUAAUGUUAAUAAAACAUUUUGAAGCGAGAGUGUUACGAAGGUGCUGCAAGCAGCAAUAAAAUCACCACGAAAUUACAAACAUGAUUUCAUGAAGAAUAAGACAUCAGCUCUGAAAUAGGAUUGAAGCAGCAGAAGUAUCCAGUUGCAGGAAUAAAAGACUUCAUCUAGCAAGAAUGGCAACACCGCACUCCUUAACGCACGGUAGAGGCAGGCAGGAAAGCACUCUCUCACUUCACUUCCAAAACUAAUGAAGAAAAGUGCCCACAAGCUCCAGGGGAGGGAAAAAAGGAUGAAAAACAGGCAGAUUCAGAUAAUUAAAAUGUUAGUUUUUCUUAAAUGACGUCAAACCCUAUUCCCAGAGCUGGCUGUUCAUGUCUGCCUGUUCUCUCCAGUCACGGGUUGGAUAGAGGAGCUGGAGGCUGAAGCAGAACUUCCCAGUGCUGAGUACACGCAGUCUGCCUUUCAGGUGACCUUGAGAGGAUCCAAUGGAAGGAAUGUGUUCAGUGUAAGAAGAUGCACUAUCAAAUACAGGUGACAAUCAAGGUGUCCUUAUCUGUCAGUUCCAGAAGGAUCCUGGGUUGCCCUGCUAGGAACUGGUGGAACAUCAGGAGCAGCAGCACAAGGCAGCCUGCUGCUCUCCCAGACCCCAUGGGCUCCCACAGCGCAGCCACUUCUCUUGAACUCCUCUGUGGCUGAGAUAGAAGAACACUCUGGAAGUCCUGGGAACCUCCUCUCCAUCUCUGUCACACCAGCUGUUCCCAUCCACGCUUUGCCCCGUCUCACUGCACAUUCCAGCAGUGAGCCCAAGCUGCCUCACUCAGCAGCUCAGAAACGGGAGGAAUUUGACAAGGAGGCAGAAGUGCACUGGGUAUGAAGUGCUGGGCGUCACUGCCAGCCCCCAUUCUGACAGGAACGCUUCUCUCACUGCUUGAAGAACAACCCUGCGUCCAGAGAGCGUCCCAGAUCCCGAGGGAGGAGGAGGAACAAAACAGAAAGCAAGCAUUCUCCCUUUCCCUUUGCUCAGAUUUCAGCUACACACUAGGCCAUCACUUCAGUAAAGCCCUCUUCCAUCCAGUUUGUAUUUUCCUCAUCUUUUUAUUUACAUGGGACACUGAGGGUACAUUUACAUGAUCUACCUUGGGCACCUGGCCUAAGUGUGAUUCUCUUGCAUUUCUUAGGUAGGAGGCAGAGAUAGGUGGGUUCCUGCCCCAAAGGGAACUACUAAGGGCCAUCAGCAGUUGGGGUGACUCACAGCCCUGUUAUUUUACUUCCCAACCUCUUUACAAGAAGGGAGCUCAGCUGUGUGGUUAAUGCAAGGCCAGCUCAGCAACCUGCAGUAAGGCCCACACUAAACCCCAGGGCUCAACAGCACCGAGGCACAUAAAAACAUAGACAAAAGGUUACCACGCAUAAAGCAAAAGGGUUUGGAGAAACAACAACUUCUUGAAAACAGCUACAGGCAUAAAAGUAGUCUGUUUUCAAGGUACAUUACCAGCCCUGAAAACCAACAGGCAUCCUAGAACUUAUCCAGGGAUAAGUCAACAUUUACAUUGCGAGCACAUAAGUGGAAAACAACGCUGGCUCUCCUGAACUGUCUUAGCCCGUGUGUUCAUCAGCCUUUUACUCUUAGGCUUCUUUAAAAAAUAAGAAGAAUGGAG
ensembl:lncRNA